CCUACGGGGGGCUGCAGUAAGGAAUAUUGGUCAAUGGACGAAAGUCUGAACCAGCCAUCCCGCGUGCAGGAUGAAAGCCCUAUGGGUUGUAAACUGCUUUUAGCAGAGAAGAAAAGCUUUCAUUAAUGAGAUUCUGACGGUAUCUGCAGAAUAAGCACCGGCUAACUCCGUGCCAGCAGCCGCGGUAAUACGGAGGGUGCGGGCGUUAUCCGGUUGAACGGGGUUUAAGGGGUGGGUAUGCGGAGUAUUUGAAAUCUUGUCGCUUAACGAUAGAAUUGCCAUUGAUACUGGUACUCUUGAAUUGGGUUGAGGUUAGCGGAAUGUGACAUGUAGCGGUGAAAUGCAUAGAUAUGUCAUGGAACACCAAUUGCGAAGGCAGCUAACUGGGCCUUGAUUGACGCUGAGGCACGAAAGCGUGGGUAGCGAACAGGAUUAGAUACCCUUGUAGUC
rnacentral:rRNA from 1 species